rnacentral:rRNA from 1 species
UACGUAGGGUGCGAGCGUUGUCCGGAAUUAUUGGGCGUCAAGGGCUCGUAGGCGGUUUGUCGCGUCGGGAGUGAAAUCCACUGGCUUAACUGGUGGCUUGCUUUCGAUACGGGCAGACUGGAGGUAUGCAGGGGAGAACGGAAUUCCUGGUGUAGCGGUGAAAUGCGCAGAUAUCAGGAGGAACACCGGUGGCGAAGGCGGUUCUCUGGGCCUUACCUGACGCUGAGGAGCGAAAGCGUGGGGAGCGAACAGG